rnacentral:tRNA from 1 species
GGGAAGGUAGCUCAGUGGUAGAGCGCUUGCCUUGCACGCAAGCGGCCCUGGGUUUGAUUCCUCAGCACCA